rnacentral:misc_RNA from 1 species
AUUAUUAUUAUUAUUAUUAUUAGUCUAGAGAUUUCUCAAAGGUACUAAGAUAUUGGCUUCAUCACUUUGUGUCAUGGGCUCUCAUAAAUUUGAGUUAAUGGGCUGAGUAUUACAAAAACACCAAGAUUUGAAGAAGAACACAUAACCAGGAAAAUGCUAGUUUCAACAAUUGGACACCAAGAAUUGAAACAAAAGCACAUGGACAGGAAAAUGCUAGUUUCAACAAUUGGACACCAAGAAUUGAAACAAAAGCACAUGGACAGGAAAAUGCUAGUUUCAACAAUUGGACAGAUAGUCCCCUUCUAAUUCCUGGCUUGUAGUUGCUCCAAAAGCUAAUAGAACAAUUGCCAUCCA